UCCUGCUCCCGGCUGUCCUGCUCCCGGCUGUCCUCCUGGCUGUCCUGCUCCCGGCUGUCCUGCUCCCGGCUGUCCUCCUCCCGGCGGUCCUGCUCCCGUGGGGCGAGGUGCACGGCAGUAGCGCGCCCCUGGAGACGGGCCGGAAAUCCCCCUCAUGACUCCACACGAUGGAUUCCCAAAGACCAGGUGGACGGGGAGACCACGUGCUUUCACGCUUUGAAUUCCUUGUUUUUGCCGCGGGGCCAUUUUACUUAGGAAGGAAGGACGCAAGGCGUCACACGCCCGGCCGGCCCGUCUCCUCUUACGUGGGACAUUCCUUCCACGCUUCACACCGAUACGUAGCGGCCACCGGUCAGCAGGUGCAGGAGCAGCGCCCGCUGACACACUGGGCCACCGACCUUCACCUCCAGCCCUCGGAGAGGGUAGAGCCCGGAGCCGGGCAGCGAGACCCGUGAGGGGCUGUGAACAUCGUCUCCUCCAGCCAAAGAUCGAACUCAGGCGGGCGUCACCAUGAUGAGCGGCCACUGGGGCUGCAGGCGGCCUGUUGCCCGACGUACUGGUAGAGGAGCCGUGAGGAGACAGAGCGGAGGGCGACGGGCAGGGAGCGUGUCGUGCUGCUCCUCGACGGCGCUGAGCCUGGAGGGGCUCGACGGUAGUGGCGCGAGGAAGUCAGUUACCUGGACGUCACCAGGUCCCUGGUAACUCGGGGCUUCCCAGCCCUCCGAGCCUCCCUCCUGCCCGCGUCCUGCCCGCGUGCGAGGGGAAGCUCUAAUGUGGGGCCCACGCCGUGGCCCAGGGGGUACCCAGAGCCAGGGCGGGAUCGCUUAGUCCUGUGCCCACCCCGUCCAGUCCCCCCCACUGGCACGACGAGGCUGAGCCCCUAAACCCGUCUCCUGACCGAGGCGCACCUGCUCACCUGUGCGCCGGCUCUCGGCAGCCCAGCCCGGCAGCAGCGCCGUGGCCCCUUGCUGGCACACGCUUAGGUUUCUGUACUGACGCCAGGUACACAUUUUUACCUUUGAAUAAAAAUGUUUUCCUCUCCAAGAUUUUA